rnacentral:rRNA from 1 species
AUUGAACGCUGGCGGCGUGCUUAACACAUGCAAGUCGAUCGGUAACGCGGGGGCAACCCUGGCGACGAGAGGCGGACGGGUGAGGAACGCUUGGGAAUCUGCUUAUCAGCGGGGGACAACACGGGGAAACUCGUGCUAAUACCGCACACGCUCUACGGAGGAAAGCCGGGGACCGCAAGGCCUGGCACUGAUAGAUGAGCCCAAGCCGGAUUAGCUAGUUGGCGUGGUAACGGCCCACCAAGGCGACGAUCCGUAGCUGGUCUGAGAGGACGAUCAGCCAACCUGGGACUGAGACGCCGCCCAGACUCCUCCGGGAGGCAGCAGUGGGGAAUAUUGGACAAUGGGAGAAACCCUGAUCCAGCGACGCCGCGUGGGUGAAGAAGGCCUGCGGGUUGUAAAGCCCUUUCGGUAGGGACGAAAGCUCUCGACCUAACACGUCGGGAGGUUGACUUAACCUACAAAAGAAGCACCGGCUAACUCUGUGCCAGCCGCCGCCGUAAGAC